CCUGGCGGCACUAGCGCGGUGGUCCCACUGACCCCAUGCAGAACUCAGAAGUGAAACGCCGUAGCGCCGAUGGUAGUGUGGGGUCUCCCCAUGCGAGAGUAGGGAACUGCCAGGC
rnacentral:rRNA from 1 species